GAACCACUGGCCUGGCCCCACCGUCAGUUUGCCGCGAGGAAGCGGAGGUAAGGGAAUUAUUCGUGCCUGGUCACAGACUGUCACCUGCGGAUCCGCCGGGCCCGCGCAGCCAGCCUGGGCCAAUGCUCGCGGGUACCUGGGCUUCGGGCCGGGUAAACUAGAGCUGUGUGCUCUCUGAGGACAGGACUCUUCAGCCCUCUGCCGAUAGUACUGGAUGGACAGACCGGCCCAUAUGGCGCUAUCUCUGUAGUCCCAGCUGCUGCUUUCACACCGAAGGUUCCCAAGGAGGCACACCUGUGCAGGAAGGACCGCUGGGUCUUCAUCAUUGAUAGAGGCUUGGGGCCAGACUCAAAGUCCCCACCCUUCUUGAAGCAGCUCGAAGAUUCCUAGGGGAGUGACAUGCCUGUAAGAGGGAUCUGACCCUCAAGACUUGGGUUUGGGCACUGGGUCCUGUAUGGUCGACAUCAGAGGAUGUCUGCCCGGAAGGAAGGAAAUAGGCACACUGACCCUGGAGGGAAGGCUGCAGAACCCUCGCGCAGCAGCUGACUCAGGUGUUUGGGGCCAUCGCAGAGCAGUGGCCGAAGGGAACAUGGUCUGCAGUGCUGCAGGCUGGGGACGGAUGGAGCGGAUGCGAGAGGAGGCUGAUCUGAGAGGAGGCUGAUUGCAAAACGUUUGGAGUACAAGUGUAUGCACACUAAGUAUUUGCUGAUUGGCUAACUGAGAAGCUCCAGGAUUUUUCAAACGUUCCUAAUUGUAAAAACCUCGAUUCUUUAUGUUCAGAGAGGGGCCUGGGAAUCUGUAUAUUUGACAAGACACGCCCCCGCCGCCCCCAGGUAAGUCUCAUGGAAUAGGAGGUUCCCGUUGCCUUCCCAUCGCCCAGGCCUGGGAGCUGUGGUGCCCUUGCCUUCCAGCACCCCCUGAAGCACCAUGAUGCCCCCACUCCACACACACCCAGCCCAGGCCAGCCUCACUCACUUGUAGAGCAAUCUUCCUGGAGGAGCCCAGAGCAUGUCUGUCCAUAUUGCAGCAGGAGGCCUCCCAGGCUAGCCUGGGCUGUGGGAUAAUUUGAUAUUCAAAUCCUGGCAAAGACCUGCUUCAAGUUGCUGCAAAUUAAGCUGAUUUUGUCCCUCCGAAUGAGGGAUUUGCUUCUGUGGAUCAACCCUUCCCAGCACUUGAUGAGGUCAGGAUUAGAGCUGGAGGGACAGGGAGAAAAGCCCGAGGCGGGAGGCCUGAGGUCUGGAGAGGUGGUGGGAGGGGGAGCCCAGAUCCCCGGGGGCCUCCUACAGACCCUGGAGUUCAGCAAGCUUCCCAUGGUCUCAAAAAAUCAGCUCUUCCCAGUGAUCGCAGGGGCUCUGGGCCCCAAAUGGGCUGACCUCACCCCUCAUGUCCUCAGGAGAGACCAGUCCCAUCCCAUUCCCAAGGCCAUUUGUGGAGCUCAUCUAAUCUUUCUAAGCACUGGUGAGGCAGGGCAGCACUGAUCACCCCAUUUCACUGAUAAGGAAAUGAAGGCUCCAAGAGGGAAGAAGAGACUCCACCAGCCACAGAUAGCCUGGCCUCCACCACUGCCACCAAAGUGCUGUGUGACCUUGAGCACGAGGCCUCUCUGAGCCUCCCCAGAAGGAUUAUUGACAAUAUGCACGGUGCCAGGCACAUGGCAAGCACUCCACCAAACACCGGCCAAGGUUACUACCCACAGAGUAAGCACUCCAUAAAUGUCGGCCAAGGUUGCUACUCAGAGCAGGGAUUGGAAGCUGGUCUUCUCUGGGCCUUGUAGAGAAGUCAUUCCCUGCCUUCUCCUGGAGGUCUGAGCCUGCUCCCGACUCUACCCCUCCUGACAGGACCCCCCCUCCCUGGAAGAACCUCAUUUCCAUCUGUUUUAUCAAGGCCUGUCCUGUAUCUUGCAGCCAUUUCAAAUUGCACCAUUAAAGAUUUUAUGCUGGAGACGUUAAAAUUAAAAAGAUCUAUGUGCAAAGAGUCACAACGAAUUUAAUCAACUUGAUUUAAUAGAAAACAGCAAAUGGAAUUUAUGAUGCUCCAAAAGACAAGGGAAUUUUUUUUUCAACAAAAAAUAAUAAAAAGCACUUUGUGGAAAACAGAAA